GGGAUGGCUGUGUCCCUCCAUGCAGGGGGGUUCGGCCCCGGUGCUGUGGGCAGGGGGCUCUGCCUGCCCUGCUCUGCCCUCCCCCACCUUGUCCUCUGGCCCCUGCUGCCCACCUGGGUGCUGGCAGUUGGGCUGAGGCUGUGGGGCUGCGGGCAGCACCGGGGGUCCCCUCCAUGCCCAGAGCAGUGCUGCGACCCACAGUGGGUGCUGCGGGACCAGGGAUGCGUGCCCCCCGCUGCAAUCCCGCUGCUGCCCGUCCCCUUCUCUCCUCUCUGGGUCAUCCUGGUAUGGGGACGUGCGGUUCAGCUGCUCAGCACAGCCCACAGCGCUGGAACUCCCGCAUCCCUACAGCCCCCAUCCACGCAGGUGGGGGGAGAGCCCCUUCCCUGCUGUGUUGGGCGUGCAGGCGGUGGGGCCCCGCCGCAGUGCAUGGUGCUGUGCUCCAAGGGAAGCUCGGCUGCGGCGUGGGCCCCCCCCCCCCGGGGUGGGCAGCGACGCGUGCCGGAGGGACGGGCUGCCUGGAAAGCUGCGUGAGCGGGGCUGCGUCCUUCCUUUCCACCCGACGCUUUCGCCUGCCACUUGCAUCUCCUGCUGCCAGAUGGAGGGUGGGGAGCGGAGCAUCGCGUCCCUGCCGGCGCCUCUGCUCCUGGGGGAGCGCUUUCCGGGAGGGGCCGGGCGCUGCCGUCCCCCCGCCACGCUCAGCCGUGCUGUGUUUCCACGGUCCCACAGGAAAAAAAACUCACCCCAACCCGGCGGCAGCCCCAGGAUUCCCCCCCGUGGGACUGAUCCGUGGGGCAGAGCCGCCCCCCGUCCUGCCCAUACCCAAACCUGAACCCGCGGUGCCCGGCCUCGCAGCCCCACGUUGCACCAUGGGGGCAGCCCAGGGCGGGGGGCUUGUGUGGGGCGGGGGCAGAGCUCCUCCACCCAUAGCAAGGCUUCCUGGCACCGGAGGGCACCGCGGUGUGGGAAGGGCAGCAGAGCGCGGUGUGUCCUUGCGCUGUGCCGCCCUUGGGUGGCUCGAAGGCCGCGUCCUCGCGACUUCCUUCUCCCGGGGGGGAGCGCUGCUGUAAUGAUUAACCUGCGCCGUCCUGUCCCGCAGUCUGUUUUCCUCAUGGUUUCCAGCUCUGGAAAAUGCUCUUCCCCCGCCCGCCACCCACGCACGCUGCCCUGUCCCCGUGCACGAGGAAAGUCCCAUCCGGACGCAUGCACUGCGGAGAUGGGGNNNNNNNNNNNNNNNNNNNNNNNNNNNNN
rnacentral:lncRNA from 1 species